UCCAAUUCAACUUUUGAUUUACUACACUAAGCACGAACACCCCUGUUCAGACUGACCAUGCGGGUUGAAGUAUCCAUCUGGGAUCCCCUUACAGCUGAACUAGUCUGAUAAGCAGUCCUCCCAUAUGCAGCAUCUUGAUACCGAGUGCUCUGGUAGCCCCCUGAAUAGCCUCCUGUUCCUCGUGACUGACCACCUCUGUCCCUUGAAAAGGUGCCUGCAGAAGAGCCAGGACCUAAUGGCCUCCCACCCACACCAUAUCCAGUGCGCACACCACCUUGCCUUCCCUGACUGAAAGAAAAGUUGUCCUGCCAUUUACCACCAACAGAAGCUGCACCAGC
rnacentral:lncRNA from 1 species